UGGGGAAUAUUGGACAAUGGGCGAAAGCCUGAUCCAGCCAUGCCGCGUGUGUGAAGAAGGUCUUCGGAUUGUAAAGCACUUUAAGUUGGGAGGAAGGGCAUUAACCUAACACGUUAGUGUUUUGACGUUACCGACAGAAUAAGCACCGGCUAACUCUGUGCCAGCAGCCGCGGUAAUACAGAGGGUGCAAGCGUUAAUCGGAAUUACUGGGCGUAAAGCGCGCGUAGGUGGUUUGUUAAGUUGGAUGUGAAAUCCCCGGGCUCAACCUGGGAACUGCAUUUAAAACUGACUGACUAGAGUAUGGUAGAGGGUGGUGGAAUUUCCUGUGUAGCGGUGAAAUGCGUAGAUAUAGGAAGGAACACCAGUGGCGAAGGCGACCACCUGGACUAAUACUGGCACUGAGGUGCGAAAGCGUGGGGAGCAAACA
rnacentral:rRNA from 1 species